CCAUAUCACGUUGAAACACCGGUUCUCAUACGAUCACUGAAGCUAAGCAACGUCGAGUCUGGUCAGUACCGAGACGAGUGACUGCUUGGGAAUACCAGGUGCUGUAAG